rnacentral:rRNA from 1 species
AUACGGAGGAUCCGAGCGUUAUCCGGAUUUAUUGGGUUUAAAGGGAGCGUAGGUGGAUAGUUAAGUCAGUUGUGAAAGUUUGCGGCUCAACCGUAAAAUUGCAGUUGAUACUGGCUGUCUUGAGUACAGUAGAGGUGGGCGGAAUUCGUGGUGUAGCGGUGAAAUGCUUAGAUAUCACGAAGAACUCCGAUUGCGAAGGCAGCUCACUGGACUGCAACUGACACUGAUGCUCGAAAGUGUGGGUAUCAAACAGGAUUAGAUACCCUGGUAGUCCACACAGUAAACGAUGAAUACUCGCUGUUUGCGAUAUACAGUAAGCGGCCAAGCGAAAGCAUUAAGUAUUCCACCUGGGGAGUACGCCGGCAACGGUGAAACUCAAAUGAAUUGACGGGG